AUUCUGACCUUCCACUGUGCAGAGAACAGACCUGCCAGAGAGCCUUGCUAUUUUUACUUCACUGCGAGGGGAUCUCAGGUUACAAAUUAUAUACGGAUGAGAAGCCUUCCCAUAACUCCUUUCCUUUAUGAUCUGUGAGCAAAGAGAUGCUUUGGAGUAGAUGAAGAUGGUGAUAAGAUACUAGAUACCAAAUACGUACAACUUACAGAAUCCUGGCAGCAUCCAACAUGUUUCAGCAAACCAGAUCCUGCAUAAAGGCCAGGCAGGAGAUUAGUGUGAAGCCUAAUCUUCAACCUCUAAGGCUUCAGGCUAUGUCAGCAUUCACUCCAGGAAGACAUGUCCCUGCCUAUCAAAGAGCACUGGCAUUUGUUUAAUCCUUGUACUUUCUCAGUGCAUUGCCAGCUUCUGACCAGCAGAAAAAGCUGAGGAUUGGUGGCACUGAAUGAACACAUGUAAUGCCCCCGUCCUUGCUUUGAGAGCUUAUGCUCUCACUGUCUUGAAUAACGAGUACCUCGAGUAACCACAGAGUCUCAUCUAGACCCCUUUACCCCAUGCCUGAUGCAGUCCCCUUUUUUUCUGUCCAGUCCAAAGGAGCUCAGUGGGGCCCUGAACCCUAACUCUUAUGGAAUACAUUUGAUAUUUGAGAAUCAAUGAAUAAGGGCUACAGUAAGAUUCAAUCCUGGCCAAUAAAUUACCAACUGAAGAUACAGGA
rnacentral:lncRNA from 1 species